rnacentral:rRNA from 1 species
UUCGCCCUUAGAGUUUGAUCCUGGCUCAGAGCGAACGCUGGCGGCAGGCUUAACACAUGCAAGUCGAACGGGCUUCUUCGGAAGUCAGUGGCAGACGGGUGAGUAACACGUGGGAACGUGCCCUUCGGUUCGGAAUAACUCAGGGAAACUUGAGCUAAUACCGGAUACGCCCUUACGGGGAAAGGUUUACUGCCGAAGGAUCGGCCCGCGUCUGAUUAGCUUGUUGGUGGGGUAACGGCCUACCAAGGCGACGAUCAGUAGCUGGUCUGAGAGGAUGAUCAGCCACACUGGGACUGAGACACGGCCCAGACUCCUACGGGAGGCAGCAGAAGGG